AGUGAACGCUGGCGGUAGGCCUAACACAUGCAAGUCGAACGGCAGCACAGUAAGAGCUUGCUCUUACGGGUGGCGAGUGGCGGACGGGUGAGGAAUACAUCGGAAUCUACUUUUUCGUGGGGGAUAACGUAGGGAAACUUACGCUAAUACCGCAUACGACCUACGGGUGAAAGCAGGGGAUCUUCGGACCUUGCGCGAUUGAAUGAGCCGAUGUCGGGUUAGCUAGUUGGCGGGGUAAAGGCCCACCAAGGCGACGAUCCGUAGCUGGUCUGAGAGGAUGAUCAGCCACACUGGAACUGAGACACGGUCCAGACUCCUACGGGAGGCAGCAGUGGGGAAUAUUGGACAAUGGGCGCAAGCCUGAUCCAGCUAUACCGCGUGGGUGAAGAAGGCCUUCGGGUUGUAAAGCCCUUUUGUUGGGAAAGAAAAGCAGCAGGUUAAUACCCCGCUGUUCUGACGGUACCCAAAGAAUAAGCACCGGCUAACUUCGUG
rnacentral:rRNA from 1 species